GACCUUCAUGCUAAUGUCUGAGGAAUGAGGAGCAUUCUAGCUGUGCCACACUGAAGAAAAUGAAUGCCAACCAGAGUUUUAGAUCAUAUGAUGGAAGUGCCGGUAGCGUGGGAGAGGUUUGACGAGUCUACACCCAGCUGUCCCAGUUCAAAAGCCACUGAUGAGACAAAUGAGCUUGAUCCUGAACAGAGGCAAAAGGUAAGUGUGCCUAUGAAGAAGUCCAAAUGAUGUGACACUAUUUCAGUUUAAUUCUAGCUCACUUGUACUCUACAUACUGCAAAGUUGAUUUAAAUCUUAUUCUAAAUUUAAGUUUGGAAAGGUUGCUUUCU